GUUAGUGUGGCAUAGUGGUUUGCGUGUUGGACUUCAACUCUGGAAACCAAGGUUUGAUUCCCUGCUUGGCCA
rnacentral:tRNA from 1 species